AAAUGGACACUAUUCUGACACUACUGCCUCAGCUAAUGGCUCAGAUGAUGAUGAUGGUGAUGGAUCUACAGCAGCCACUGAUGGAUCAAACUUGAGAGCUUCCCCAGCAGAACAUGCUGGAAGUGCUGGAAGUGAAUCUGGAGGAUCUGUUGUUGAGAGCUUGGGUGGUGAGCACAAUGUUUCUGGACGAAGUUCAGCCUAUGGUGACACUGGACAAGAAUCUGGCGCAGCAGCUCUUCGUGAUGGAGUGUCAGCAUUACCUACCACACUUCAGGGUGACUUGGUUGAGGAGGAAUUACCAGAAGGUGGUGUAGGACUGCAUACACUCCGUCUGGCUUUGUUAGACGCCCUGGUGCAGCGUAUUCCUUCUCUAUCAGCUGUUGGAGGAGUUACAACUAUACCCUUCUUCCAAGU